GACGAACGCUGGCGGCGUGCUUAACACAUGCAAGUCGAACGGAAAGGCCCUGCUUUUGUGGGGUGCUCGAGUGGCGAACGGGUGAGUAACACGUGAGUAACCUGCCCUUGACUUUGGGAUAACUUCAGGAAACUGGGGCUCAUAUCGGAUAGGAGCUCCUGCUGCAUGGUGGGGGUUGGAAAGUUUCGGCGGUUGGGGCUGGACUCGCGGCUUAUCAGCUUGUUGGUGGGGUAGUGGCUUACCAAGGCUUUGACGGGUAGCCGGCCUGAGAGGGUGACCGGGCACAUUGGGACUGAGAUACGGCCCAGACUGCUACGGGAGGCAGCAGUGGGGAAUAUUGCGCAAUGGGCGGAAGCCAGAUGUAGCAACGCCGCGUGCGGGAUGACGGCCUUCGGGUUGUAAACCGCUUUCGCCUGUGACGAAGCGUGAGUGACGGUAAUGGGUAAAGAAGCACCGGCUAACUACGUG
rnacentral:rRNA from 1 species